rnacentral:rRNA from 1 species
UACGUAGGGGGCUAGCGUUGUCCGGAUUUAUUGGGCGUAAAGAGCGUGUAGGCGGCCAUGUAGGUCCGGUGUGAAAACUCGAGGCUUAACCUCGAGAUGUCAUCGGAAACCAUUUGGCUAGAGUCCGGAAGAGGAGAGUGGAAUUCCCGGUGUAGCGGUGAAAUGCGCAGAUAUCGGGAAGAACACCUAUGGCGAAGGCAGCUCGCUGGGACGGUACUGGCGCUGAGGCGCGAAAGCGUGGGGAGCAAACAGG